rnacentral:rRNA from 1 species
UACGGAGGGAGCUAGCGUUGUUCGGAAUUACUGGGCGUAAAGCGCGCGUAGGCGGCUUUGUAAGUUAGAGGUGAAAGCCCGGGGCUCAACCCCCGGAACUGCCUUUAAGACUGCAUCGCUUGAAUCCGGGAGAGGUGAGUGGAAUUCCGAGUGUAGAGGUGAAAUUCGUAGAUAUUCGGAAGAACACCAGUGGCGAAGGCGGCUCACUGG